GGCGCAAGCCUGAUCCAGCCAUACCGCGUGGGUGAAGAAGGCCUUCGUGUUGGAAAGCCCUUUUGUUGGGAAAGAAAUCCAGCCGGCUUAUACCUGGUUGGGAUGACGGUACCCAAAGAAUAAGCACCGGCUAACUUCGUGCCAGCAGCCGCGGUAAUACGAAGGGUGCAAGCGUUACUCGGAAUUACUGGGCGUAAAGCGUGCGUAGGUGUUCGUUUAAGUCCGUUGUGAAAGCCCUGGGCUCAACCUGGGAACUGCAGUGGAUACUGGGCGACUAGAGUGUGGUAGAGGGUAGCGGAAUUCCUGGUGUAUCAGUGAAAUGCGUAGAGAUCAGGAGGAACAUCCAUGGCGAAGGCAGCUACCUGGACCAACACUGACACUGAGGCACGAAAGCGUGGGGAGCAAACAGGAUUAGAUACCCUGGUAGUCCACGCCCUAAACGAUGCGAACUGGAUGUUGGGUGCAAUUUGGCACGCAGUAUCGAAGCUAACGCGUUAAGUUCGCCGCCUGGGGAGUACGGUCGCAAGACUGAAACUCAAAGGAAUUGACGGGGGCCCGCACAAGCGGUGGAGUAUCUGGUUUAAUUCGAUGCAACGCGAAGA
rnacentral:rRNA from 1 species